ensembl:misc_RNA Metazoa_SRP Metazoan signal recognition particle RNA
ACUGGGCACCGUGGCACGUACCUGUAGUCCCAGCUACUUGGGAGGCUGAGGCUAGAGGAUCACUUGAGUCCAGGAGUUCUGGGCUGUAGUGCACUAUGCUGAUCAGGUGUCUGCACUAAGUUUGGCAUCAAUAUGAUGACCUCCUGGGAGUGGGGGACCACCAGGUUGCCUAAGGAGGGGUGAACUGGCCCAGGUCGGAAACGGAGCAGGUCAAAAUUCCCAUGCUGAUCAGUAGUGGGAUUGCACCUGUGAAUAGCCACUGCACUCCAGCCUGGGCAACAUAGUGAGAACCUAUCUCUA